GAUGCUGGGGGAGCCGUCAGGCUGAGAAAGUAGAACUUGACCCUUUGAACUUGAUGCGGUUCAUACCGCCGUAAGGAAAGCA
rnacentral:ncRNA from 1 species